ensembl:lncRNA
CUGCCUUGGAGCCAGCCCAUUAUGGACUGAAACCUCUAUGAACUAUGGCAUCACAGUGGAAGGAGAACUUGUGAGAGGAAAAGAUCACAUGACAAGACAGGAAGCCAGAGAAGCAGAUCCAGUGCAAGGCUCCCUGCAGCACUCUACAGCACAUCUUUAAGCAACAGAUGCCUUCUGUCAAUCUGGAGACAAGUGGUGACAUCCAGAGAUAAGAUGGAAUGGUCCAUCUGACCAAGUCAUUAUUCACUGAUCAGCAGCAGAGCCCAUGACAAAUGCCUGUGUGAAUAAGUGUGGAGCCAUCAGAGAGGAGCAUACGCUGCCAGUAGCAAAG